rnacentral:rRNA from 1 species
UAAGGGCGCACGGUGGAUGCCUUGGCACUAGAAGCCGAUGAAGGACGUUACUAACGACGAUAUGCUUUGGGGAGCUGUAAGUAAGCUUUGAUCCAGAGAUUUCCGAAUGGGGAAACCCAGCAUGAGUUAUGUCAUGUUAUCGAUAUGUGAAUACAUAGCAUAUCAGAAGGCACACCCGGAGAACUGAAACAUCUUAGUACCCGGAGGAAGAGAAAGAAAAUUCGAUUCCCUUAGUAGCGGCGAGCGAAACGGGAAGAGCCCAAACCAACAAGCUUGCUUGUUGGGGUUGUAGGACACUCUAUACGGAGUUACAAAGGACGACAUUAGACGAAUCAUCUGGAAAGAUGAAUCAAAGAAGGUAAUAAUCCUGUAGUCGAAAAUGUUGUCUCUCUUGAGUGGAUCCUGAGUACGACGGAGCACGUGAAAUUCCGUCGGAAUCUGGGAGGACCAUCUCCUAAGGCUAAAUACUCUCUAGUGACCGAUAGUGAACCAGUACCGUGAGGGAAAGGUGAAAAGCACCCCGGAAGGGGAGUGAAAUAGAACCUGAAACCGUGUGCUUACAAGUAGUCAGAGCCCGUUAAUGGGUGAUGGCGUGCCUUUUGUAGAAUGAACCGGCGAGUUACGAUUUGAUGCAAGGUUAAGCAGUAAAUGUGGAGCCGUAGCGAAAGCGAGUCUGAAUAGGGCGUUUAGUAUUUGGUCGUAGACCCGAAACCAGGUGAUCUACCCUUGGUCAGGUUGAAGUUCAGGUAACACUGAAUGGAGGACCGAACCGACUUACGUUGAAAAGUGAGCGGAUGAACUGAGGGUAGCGGAGAAAUUCCAAUCGAACCUGGAGAUAGCUGGUUCUCUCCGAAAUAGCUUUAGGGCUAGCCUCAAGUGAUGAUUAUUGGAGGUAGAGCACUGUUUGGACGAGGGGCCCCUCUCGGGUUACCGAAUUCAGACAAACUCCGAAUGCCAAUUAAUUUAACUUGGGAGUCAGAACAUGGGUGAUAAGGUCCGUGUUCGAAAGGGAAACAGCCCAGACCACCAGCUAAGGUCCCAAAAUAUAUGUUAAGUGGAAAAGGAUGUGGCGUUGCCCAGACAACUAGGAUGUUGGCUUAGAAGCAGCCAUCAUUUAAAGAGUGCGUAAUAGCUCACUAGUCGAGUGACACUGCGCCGAAAAUGUACCGGGGCUAAACAUAUUACCGAAGCUGUGGAUUGUCCUUUGGACAAUGGUAGGAGAGCGUUCUAAGGGCGUUGAAGCAUGAUCGUAAGGACAUGUGGAGCGCUUAGAAGUGAGAAUGCCGGUGUGAGUAGCGAAAGACGGGUGAGAAUCCCGUCCACCGAUUGACUAAGGUUUCCAGAGGAAGGCUCGUCCGCUCUGGGUUAGUCGGGUCCUAAGCUGAGGCCGACAGGCGUAGGCGAUGGAUAACAGGUUGAUAUUCCUGUACCACCUAUAAUCGUUUUAAUCGAUGGGGGGACGCAGUAGGAUAGGCGAAGCGUGCGAUUGGAUUGCACGUCUAAGCAGUAAGGCUGAGUAUUAGGCAAAUCCGGUACUCGUUAAGGCUGAGCUGUGAUGGGGAGAAGACAUUGUGUCUUCGAGUCGUUGAUUUCACACUGCCGAGAAAAG